CAAUAAUCAGAGAAAGUGCGCCAACGUCAAAUCACACAGAGGGAGAGAGAGCACAACUCCUGGCUGCAGCUGAAGGAGGACGAUUGAUUUCUGGCAGUUCGUCUUACCAUUGCUUGUAAGCUGGAUUGGGUAAGAUGGAUCAUCUUUAAAGGAACCAGGAGUUAAGGCAGAUGUGGAGGCACAACGGGUGAUACCAGACACACACCAAGCACAUUAUGUUCGGACAUUCAAUCAUGACAGGAUCCAGGUGGAUGCUGUCCAUUGAGGAAAGAGUUUGUUCCGAGGUUUCUGGAUAGAAUUAAUUCCAAAAAUGGGAAAAAGUGCACAUCCAGACAAGGAGCAAGCAAAAAGACAAGGAACUUGGUGCAGAGAAAAGCUGUAGCCAUUAACCCCCAUGUGAACAGCUUCAUGGGGUCCCUGAUUGAGUUCGAAUGGACGACUUCAAAGUAAAGGCCACUGUGGUCUGUCUGCCACAGUUUAAUGCAUUUAUUUUUAGUGUUCAAUGAAAUUCAAGUAGAAUAUUUAAAACUAUGGGCCAGUGUUCUUUUUACCACAGUGAAAUGUUACCUUUUAGUCGAUGAUGGACUUUAAACUGAAAACUUCAAACUAUGGAACAGUGUUCUAUUUGCCAGAGUUAAAUAUGUUACAG